ACUCCUACGGGAGGCAGCAGUAGGGAAUCUUCCACAAUGGGCGAAAGCCUGAUGGAGCAACGCCGCGUGGGUGAAGAAGGUCUUCGGAUCGUAAAACCCUGUUGUUAGAGAAGAAAGUGCGUGAGAGUAACUGUUCACGUUUCGACGGUAUCUAACCAGAAAGCCACGGCUAACUACGUGCCAGCAGCCGCGGUAAUACGUAGGUGGCAAGCGUUAUCCGGAUUUAUUGGGCGUAAAGGGAACGCAGGCGGUCUUUUAAGUCUGAUGUGAAAGCCUUCGGCUUAACCGGAGUAGUGCAUUGGAAACUGGGAGACUUGAGUGCAGAAGAGGAGAGUGGAACUCCAUGUGUAGCGGUGAAAUGCGUAGAUAUAUGGAAGAACACCAGUGGCGAAAGCGGCUCUCUGGUCUGUAACUGACGCUGAGGUUCGAAAGCGUGGGUAGCAAACAGGAUUAGAUACCCUGGUAGUCCACGCCGUAAACGAUGAAUGCUAAGUGUUGGAGGGUUUCCGCCCUUCAGUGCU
rnacentral:rRNA from 1 species